rnacentral:lncRNA from 1 species
UCUAGUCUAUAUAAAAGGGGUCCUCUCUCUUGGAUGUCCUAUGAUCUAUCCCUUGCUGGUUUUUAUUUUUAGAGCCUCUUCUCCUCCUCCUCUAUUUCUUCUCUUAAUUUUCUCUUGCUUUGGAGUGUCCAAGAUACUUGAAGAAGGAGGAACAAAUCAGUUGUCGAAAUUGCUUGCAAGCUAGCACCUCCAAUUCUCUGAUCUGCGCCUGUCUUCGCAUGGUCUUUCUGUAGAGGUCAGACGACUCUGUGUGGCUAUGAGUG